UUUUUGGAGGGCAAGUCUGGUGCCAGCAGCCGCGGUAAUUCCAGCUCCAAUAGCGUAUAUUAAAGUUGUUGCAGUUAAAAAGCUCGUAGUUGAAUUUCGGGAUCAAUUUGUUGGUCGUGCCUCGGUACGUACUGGCAUUAUUGGUUUCUACCUUCUGAAGAACCUUGAUGUCAUUAAUUUGGUGUCUUGGGGAAUCAGGACUGUUACUUUGAAAAAAUUAGAGUGUUUAAAGCAGGCAA
rnacentral:rRNA from 1 species